rnacentral:rRNA from 1 species
AAUAAUUUAGGGAUUUGAUUGAUAUUAAAUUUUAAUUUCUUGAAAUAUGUUGUUAAAUGGAAAUUAUAGAUGGUAUAAGUUGAUUGAUCCAUGAGAUGUAAUGUGAAAAAUAAAGUUGUGUUGUUAGGGAGGUAAUUGAAGUGAUCGAAUAAUUUGGCUGGUUGUUCGAGCUUGAUGAUUUGGUUAAAUGCGUGCCAGCUGCCGCGGUUAGACGUGAAAUACAAGUGAAUAUUGUUGAUUAGAAGUGAAUUGUUGUUUUCAUUAUAUUAAAAUUGUUUUUGGUGAAAUGAAUAAAUUUUAUUUAUUUGAUAAGUGAUUUAAUGAAUCUUCGAAAUUAAUAAAUUUAAACUAGGAUUAGAUACCCUAUUAUAAGUUAUGUAAAUACUAAAAUCAGGGUAGUAGUAGUUAUGAUCUUGAAACCCAAAGAAUUUGGCGGUGUUUUAGUCCUUUCAGAGGAAUCUGUUCUGUAAUUGAUAAUACACGAUUUAUGUAACUUGAUUUUGUUAUCAGUUUAUAUACCGCCGUCAUUUAAAUUAUUUAAUAUAAUUUUUUAAACUUUUGGUUCAAUUUAAAUAUUAAAACAAUAGAAUAUUUAAUAUUAUAUAAUAAUAGGAAUAAAAAACAUCAAUCCAAUUACGAAAGCACAAUCUUUUUUUUAUUUUUAGAUUGUGCUUUCGUGCGGAUUGAUGUUUUUUUAUUCCGUUGUUAUAUAAGAUCUUAUAUAUAUAUAUAUAAUCUACAGA